rnacentral:rRNA from 1 species
AUUGAACGCUGGCGGCAGGCCUAACACAUGCAAGUCGAGCGGAGCGGCGGACGGGUGAGUAAUGCCUAGGUAUCUGCCUGGUAGUGGGGGAUGACGUCAGGAAACGGGCGCUAAUACCGCAUACUAUUAGAUGAGCCUAGGUCGGAUUAGCUAGUUGGGGGGGUAAGGGCCUACCAAGGCGACGAUCCGUAACCGGUCUGAGAGGAUGAUCAUCCACACUGGGACUGAGACACGGUCCAGACUCCUACGGGAGGCAGCAGUGGGGAAUAUUGGACAAUGGGCGAAAGCCUGAUCCAGCCAUGCCGCGUGUGUGAAGAAGGUCUUCGGAUUGUAAAGCACUUUAAGUUGGGAGGCGUUACCCACAGAAUAAGCACCGGCUAACUUCGUGCCAGCAGCCGCGGUAAUUC